CAGAGAGUAGUUUAAAUAAAAUAUUAAUUUUGGAGAUUAAAGAUAAGAAGUCUUCUUUUCUCUGA
rnacentral:tRNA from 1 species